UGGGGAGUGGCCAAGCUGGUAAGGCGCCUGACUCUGGAUCAGGAGAUCGAGGGUUCGAAUCCUUCCUCCCCAGCCA
rnacentral:tRNA from 2 species